UGGCUGUAGCUAAAUCGAACCUGCUUGUGAAGCUAACUGGCCGGUUGUUGUGAUCUCUUUUUGGGAUCUCUGUCAAUAAAUCUGCUUACCGAGCUUCUAACAAUC
rfam:Vigna radiata var. radiata cultivar VC1973A chromosome 10, whole genome shotgun sequence